AGAGUUUGAUCCUGGCUCAGAACGAACGCUGGCGGCAGGCUUAACACAUGCAAGUCGAGCGCAUGUCUUCGGACAUGAGCGGCAGACGGGUGAGUAACGCGUGGGAACGUACCCUUCAGUUCGGAAUAACCCAGGGAAACUUGGGCUAAUACCGGAUACGUCCGUAAGGAGAAAGAUUUUAUUGCUGAAGGAUCGGCCCGCGUCGGAUUAGCUAGUUGGUGAGGUAACGGCCCACCAAGGCAACGAUCCGUAGCUGGUCUGAGAGGAUGAUCAGCCACACUGGGACUGAGACACGGCCCAGACUCCUACGGGAGGCAGCAGUGGGGAAUAUUGGACAAUGGGCGCAAGCCUGAUCCAGCCAUGCCGCGUGAGUGAAGAAGGCCCUAGGGUUGUAAAGCUCUUUCAGCGGGGACGAUAAUGACGGUACCCGCAGAAGAAGCCCCGGCUAACUUCGUGCCAGCAGCCGCGGUAAUACGAAGGGGGCUAGCGUUGUUCGGAAUUACUGGGCGUAAAGCGCGCGUAGGCGGAUAUUUAAGUCAGGGGUGAAAUCCCAGGGCUCAACCCUGGAACUGCCUUUGAUACUGGAUGUCUGGAGUUCGGGAGAGGUGAGUGGAAUUCCGAGUGUAGAGGUGAAAUUCGUAGAUAUUCGGAGGAACACCAGAAGCGAAGGCGGCUCACUGGCCCGAUACUGACGCUGAGGCGCGAAAGCGUGGGGAGCAAACAGGAUUAGAUACCCUAGUAGUCC
rnacentral:rRNA from 1 species